rnacentral:rRNA from 1 species
UACGGAGCAGCAGUGGGGAAUCUUGCACAAUGGAGGAAACUCUGAUGCAGCGACGCCGCGUGAGCGAUGAAGCCCUUCGGGGUGUAAAGCUCUUUCGACGGGAACGAUAAUGACGGUACCCGGAGAAGAAGCUGCGGCUAACUACGUGCCAGCAGCCGCGGUAAUACGUAGGCAGCAAGCGUUGUUCGGAGUUACUGGGCGUAAAGAGUGCGUAGGCGGUGCCCUAAGUCUGUUGUGAAAUCUCCCGGCUUAACUGGGAGGGUGCGGUGGAAACUGGGGUGCUUGAGUGUGGGAGAGGUUGGCGGAAUUCCUGGUGUAGCGGUGAAAUGCGUAGAUAUCAGGAGGAACACCGGUGGUGUAGACGGCUAACUGGACCAUGACUGACGCUGAGGCACGAAAGCGUGGGUAGCAAACAGGAUUAGAUACCCUGGUAGUCCACGCCCUAAACGAUGCACACUUGGUGUGAGCCAUUCAUUUGGUUCGUGCCGGAGCUAACGCGUUAAGUAUUCCACCUGGGGAGUACGGUCGCAAGAUUGAAACUCAAAGGAAUUGACGGAAGGGC